UGAGCAUGGGUGUCAAAAAAAAAAGCCU
rnacentral:piRNA from 1 species